rnacentral:rRNA from 1 species
ACGGCUCAGUAACACGUGGACAACCUACCCUUGAGUCGGGGAUAAACCCGGGAAACUGGGUAUAAUACCCGAUAGUCCUCGGCUGCUGGAAUGCAUCGAGAACGAAAGCUCCGACGCUCAAGGAUGGGUCUGCGGCCUAUCAGGUAGUAGUGGGUGUAGCGUACCUACUAGCCUACGACGGGUACGGGUUGUGAGAGCAAGAGCCCGGAGAUGGAUUCUGAGACACGAAUCCAGGCCCUACGGGGUGCAGCAGGCGCGAAAACUUUACAAUGCUGGAAACAGCGAUAAGGGGACCUCGAGUGCCAGGUUACAAAUCUGGCUGUCGUGAUGCCUAAAAAGCAUUGCAUAGCAAGGGCCGGGCAAGACCGGUGCCAGCCGCCGCGGUAACACCGGCGGCUCGAGUGGUAACCGUUAUUAUUGGGUCUAAAGGGUCUGUAGCCGGCCGGAUAAGUCUCUUGGGAAAUCUGGCAGCUUAACUGUCAGGCUUUCAGGAGAUACUGUCUGGCUCGAGGCCGGGAGAGGUGAGAGGUACUUCAGGGGUAGGGGUGAAAUCUUGUAAUCCUUGAAGGACCACCAGUGGCGAAGGCGUCUCACCAGAACGGACCUGACGGCAAGGGACGAAAGCUAGGGGCACGAACCGGAUUAGAUACCCGGGUAGUCCUAGCCGUAAACGAUACUCGCUAGGUGUCGGCCACGGUGCGACCGUUGUCGGUGCCGUAGGGAAGCCGUGAAGCGAGCCACCUGGGAAGUACGGCCGCAAGGCUGAAACUUAAAGGAAUUGGCGGGGGAGCACCACAACGGGUGGAGCUUGCGGUUUAAUUGGAUUCAACGCCGGA